UUCGUCGUGGCCUAGUGGUUAAGGCGACAGACUUGAAAUCUGUUGGGCUCUGCCCGCACAGGUUCGAAUCCUGUCGGCGACG
rnacentral:tRNA from 1 species